GCAUAUCAAUAAGCGGAGGAAAAGAAACCAACAGGGAUUGCCCUAGUAACGGCGAGUGAAGCGGCAACAGCUCAAAUUUGAAAUCUGGCUCUUUUAGAGUCCGAGUUGUAAUUUGCGGAGGGCGCUUUGGCUUUGGCAGCGGUCCAAGUUCCUUGGAACAGGACGUCACAGAGGGUGAGAAUCCCGUACGUGGUCGCUAGCUAUUGCCGUGUAAAGCCCCUUCGACGAGUCGAGUUGUUUGGGAAUGCAGCUCUAAAUGGGAGGUAAAUUUCUUCUAAAGCUAAAUAUUGGCCAGAGACCGAUAGCGCACAAGUAGAGUGAUCGAAAGAUGAAAAGCACUUUGGAAAGAGAGUCAAACAGCACGUGAAAUUGUUGAAAGGGAAGCGCUUGCAGCCAGACUUGCUUGCAGUUGCUCAUCCGGGCUUUUGCCCGGUGCACUCUUCUGCAGGCAGGCCAGCAUCAGUUUGGGCGGUGGGAUAAAGGUCUCUGACACGUUCCUUCCUUCGGGUUGGCCAUAUAGGGGAGACGUCAUACCACCAGCCUGGACUGAGGUCCGCGCAUCUGCUAGGAUGCUGGCGUAAUGGCUGUAAGCGGCCCGUCUUGAAACACGGACCAAGGAGUCUAACAUCUAUGCGAGUGUUUGGGUGUCAAGCCCGAGCGCGUAAUGAAAGUGAACGGAGGUGGGAACCCGCAAGGGUGCACCAUCGACCGAUCCUGAAGUUUACGGAAGGAUUUGAGUAAGAGCAUGGCUGUUGGGACCCGAAAGAUGGUGAACUAUGCUUGAAUAGGGUGAAGCCAGAGGAAACUCUGGUGGAGGCUCGCAGCGGUUCUGACGUGCAAAUCGAUCGUCAAAUUUGGGCAUAGGGGCGAAAGACUAAUCGAACUAUCUGUAGC
rnacentral:rRNA from 1 species